rnacentral:rRNA from 1 species
UACGUAGGGUGCGAGCGUUAAUCGGAAUUACUGGGCGUAAAGCGCGCGCAGGCGGUUAUGCAAGACAGAUGUGAAAUCCCCGGGCUCAACCUGGGAACUGCAUUUGUGACUGCAUAGCUAGAGUACGGUAGAGGGGGAUGGAAUUCCGCGUGUAGCAGUGAAAUGCGUAGAUAUGCGGAGGAACACCGAUGGCGAAGGCAAUCCCCUGGACCUGUACUGACGCUCAUGCACGAAAGCGUGGGGAGCAAACAGG